CCUACGGGUGGCAGCAGUGGGGGAUAUUGCACAAUGGUCGUAAGCCUGAACCAGCCAAGUCGCGUGAGGGAUGAAGGUUCUAUGGAUCGUAAACCUCUUUUAUAAGGGAAUAAAGUGUGGGACGUGUCCUAUUUUGUAUGUACCUUAUGAAUAAGGAUCGGCUAACUCCGUGCCAGCAGCCGCGGUAAUACGGAGGAUCCGAGCGUUAUCCGGAUUUAUUGGGUUUAAAGGGUGCGUAGGCGGCCUUUUAAGUCAGCGGUGAAAGUCUGUGGCUCAACCAUAGAAUGGCCGUUGAAACUGGGGGGCUUGAGUAUGUUUGAGGCAGGCGGAAGGCGUGGUGUAGCGGUGAAAUGCUUAGAUAUCACGCAGAACCCCGAUUGCGAAGGCAGCCUGCCAGGCCAUGACUGACGCUGAUGCACGAAAGCGUGGGGAUCAAACAGGAUUAGAUACCCCUGUAGUC
rnacentral:rRNA from 1 species